rnacentral:misc_RNA from 1 species
CCGUGGGGAUUCGUCCCCAUUGAGAUAGCACCCUUUGUUCAUGAGUACCCUCGUUUCCUCGGCGGGCUUGCCCGCCAGUAGGACAAAACAAAAACCCUUUUGCAGUAGCAGUAACUUCAGUUAAUAAACAAAUAUUA